rnacentral:rRNA from 1 species
GUGGAUUAGAUACCCUGGUAGUCCAUGCCGUAAACGUUGGGCACUAGGUGUGGGGGACAUUCCACGUUUUCCGCGCCGUAGCUAACGCAUUAAGUGCCCCGCCUGGGGAGUACGGCCGCAAGGCUAAAACUCAAAGGAAUUGACGGGGGCCCGCACAAGCGGCGGAGCAUGCGGAUUAAUUCGAUGCAACGCGAAGAACCUUACCAAGGCUUGACAUGUGCCAGACCGGAUCAGAGAUGGUCUUUCCCUUCGGGGCUGGUUCACAGGUGGUGCACGGCUGUCGUCAACU